AUAGCAUAUCAAUAAGCGGAGGAAAAGAAACCAACAGGGAUUGCCCUAGUAACGGCGAGUGAAGCGGCAACAGCUCAAAUUUGAAAUCUGGCUUCGGCCCGAGUUGUAAUUUGUAGAGGAUGCUUUUGGUGCGGUGCCUUCUGAGUUCCCUGGAACGGGACGCCUUAGAGGGUGAGAGCCCCGUAAAGUUGGACACCAAGCCUAUGUAAAGCUCCUUCGACGAGUCGAGUAGUUUGGGAAUGCUGCUCAAAAUGGGAGGUAAAUUUCUUCUAAAGCUAAAUACCGGCCAGAGACCGAUAGCGCACAAGUAGAGUGAUCGAAAGAUGAAAAGCACUUUGAAAAGAGGGUUAAACAGUACGUGAAAUUGUUGAAAGGGAAGCGCUCAUGACCAGACUUGUGCCCUGCGAAUCAUCCAGCCUUCUGGCUGGUGCACUUCGCUUGGUUCAGGCCAGCAUCGGUUUUCUGAGGGGGAUAAAAGCUUCAGGAACGUAGCUCCUCCGGGAGCAUUAUAGCCUGUUGCAUAAUACCCCUCGGGGGACCGAGGUUCGCGCAUCUGCAAGGAUGCUGGCGUAAUGGUCAUCAGCGACCCGUCUUGAAACACGGACCAAGGAGUCAAGCAUUAGUGCGAGUGUUUGGGUGUAAAACCCGCACGCGUAAUGAAAGUGAACGUAGGUGAGAGCUUCGGCGCAUCAUCGACCGAUCCUGAUGUAUUCGGAUGGAUUUGAGUAGGAGCAUUAACGCUUGGACCCGAAAGAUGGUGAACUAUGCUUGGAUAGGGUGAAGCCAGAGGAAACUCUGGUGGAGGCUCGCAGCGGUUCUGACGUGCAAAUCGAUCGUCAAAUCUGAGCAUGGGGGCGAAAGACUAAUCGAACCAUCUAGUAGCUGGUUACCGCC
rnacentral:rRNA from 1 species